rnacentral:piRNA from 1 species
UGCUGCUUGUUGGAUCUAUGGUUCAGG